AGAUGCAAGUAGUUGAAGUUUCUGAGGCCAUUCCUUCAAAUGGUUGUAUACAUGAAGAAGUGAAAACUACAGAUGAAAAUUUGAGAAGAUCAAGAGAACCUUGAGGAAUUAUUAAAUGAAAUGGCAUUACUGAAGGAGAGGAACAAAUCAAUGGAAGGUGAACUAAAAGAAAUGCAAGAGAGGUAUUCAGAGAUAAGUUUCAAGUUUGCAGAGGUAGAAGAAAUUAGCUGCAAGGUUGAAUGAAGAUGGAGUGUCGCCGGAAUUUGGGUCGGUUGCCCUUGAGCAUCCUAGUCCUGUCUCU